ACGUUGUCUUUUCCCCUUUGCAGCUUAAAUAUAUUCAUUGAAAUUAAAAUUGGGUUACUAAUUUAUUUAUUUAUUGAAUAAACACUUAAUUGUAAAAUAAUAUAUAUUACAAUUCUAAAACAAAUAAUAAGAUUUAAAAAUGUUGUAUCUUAAUAAAGCUUUAUCAGUACUUUUUUUUUUUUAAAUUCUUAGCAAAUUAAGAGCUAGUAAUAUUCAUCAGCAUGCAGUUUUUAAUUAACAUUCAUUUUUCUUUUUUUUUUUAUCUUUAAAUAUAUUCAUGAUCAGAACUCAUAUUUGCAAUAUAAAUUAAAUGUGAAUAUCUAUUGUUGAUUUAUAUAUAUACAAACGUGUGUCUCGAAUUAUUGUCCAUUAUGUAAAAGCUGAGUUUAUGGCAACAGAUUCAAUCAGACAAUAUUAAAAGUUGAGCACUUGCACACUUUUUUAGGUUGUAAAGAAAAUGGAUUGCGUUUAACCCUAUCCAAAAAUUAGCUCAAGGUGAAGUAAGUCUUAUAUUUAGAUGAGAGACUUUGUUUCAAACUAAUGUGGGACAAUACACUUUUUUCAUACCUAGAUAUAAACAUUUGUAAUGUAAAAUUUACAAGCAAACAUAUUAUUGAAGUAGAGUAAAAUCUGAUAUCAUGUAGAAAAAAUGAAUAAGUCUAAUUCCACCCUAAAAGUUAGCUCAAGGGUUUACCCUAGUCAUAUAUUUAGAUAAGAGUCCUCAUUCCAAUCCCAUGUGAGACAACAUCAUUGGGAUGGGUUAGGAAAGAAGAUCAUUUCCUAUUAUGCAGCCCAAAUUUACUCAUCGCGCUAAAAAGAGACAUAAUUAAUCUUCAUAAGAAGUGAUUUGUUAGAUAUAUAAAACUAUUAUUUGAAUUUUUACUUGUAAAUUUAAGUAAGUUGAGUGGUUUUUUUUUCAUAGUAUCAAAGCUUUUCAAAUUAAAAGGUUCAAAAUUCAAAUUCUGAUAGUAUGUGGAGAUGUAUUAGAGAUAUAGAAAUAUUCUUAGAGCUUUUAAAUACUUAUAAGGUUAAACUUUUAGAUUAAGUUGUUUCUUGAUAAGAUUUAGAUUGUGAAUUCAACUUUAGUAAAUAUUGAGACUCUAAAAAUUAAUUAUGUAGUUUUAAAUUGUAUUUUUAUUUUCUGGUUAUUUAUUAAUUAUUUGAUUACUUUAUUUUAUAUAAAUGUAUUUUAACUUCAUCCAAUAAAUGGGAAAAAGAAGAGGGGAGGGUAGUGUUUCAGACUUGAUGGUUUACACUUUACACUAUUUCAUAUUUAGGUAGAUAUUUUCUUGUUUAAAUUAGAAAGUUCAUUUAUAUAAGAGACAAAAUAUAUUAUCAACGUAUCAAUAAGAAAUAAUCUAAUUAUUUUUUUUAUUUUUAAAAUUAUAAAAAAAUAACAAAUUCGAAUCUUUUUAACUUUUAAGUCGAGAAUUAUUCAGAGAGAAUGAGUGUCACUUACUAUAUAGCUCAUCAAUGUAUAAAUCCUAAAGCAAGGACAAUAUUAGGAGUCGAAAGAGAAAAAUGCUAUGCUUUGUUUGGAUGAGAAUGAGAGAGGGAGAGAAAUACCAUGCACCGAAAGUGUUUUGGGAU
rnacentral:misc_RNA from 1 species